GACGAACGCUGGCGGCGUGCUUAACACAUGCAAGUCGAACGAUGAAGCCUUAGCUUGCUUUGGUGGAUUAGUGGCGAACGGGUGAGUAACACGUGAGCAACGUGCCCAGGACUCUGGAAUAACCGCGGGAAACCGUGGCUAAUACCGGAUAGGUGCCGAGGCCGCAUGGUCUUCGGUUGGAAAGUUUUUGCGGUUCUGGAUCGGCUCACGGCCUAUCAGCUUGUUUGUGGGGUAAUGGCCUACCAAGGCGACGACGGGUAGCCGGCCUGAGAGGGUGACCGGCCACACUGGGACUGAGACACGGCCCAGACUCCUACGGGAGGCAGCAGUGGGGAAUAUUGCACAAUGGGCGCAAGCCUGAUGCAGCAACGCCGCGUGGGGGAUGACGGCCUUCGGGUUGUAAACCUCUUUUAGUAGGGAAGAAGCGCAAGUGACGGUACCUGCAGAAAAAGCACCGGCUAACUACGUG
rnacentral:rRNA from 1 species